GGACUGAACUCUAUCAGGGACACCCUACCAGUCAUAGGAGGCCUUCAUGACCAGCAUCUCAGUGUGGACGGAGAUCAGGGCGGAGGUCCAACAUACGCCUCUAUUGUCCUGCCUGAGGGACAGAGGAGCGUGGCUACAGAACAGGUUGAGGACGAUUCCAGCGAUGCAGUGACCUACUCCUCAGUGAGGGCCUCUCCCAGAUGUGGAGAGAAGGCUGGUGAUGUGGAUGUACACUACGCCACCGCCAACAAACGGGCAUAAUAACAAAAUAUCUGUAGAUGAGUACGUGAUGAAACAGAGCCAGCAGCAGCA